UUAAUACUGGAUAGAUCAAAGAUACUGGAAUGUUCUCUGGUCUAAAGCUCCGGCGCCCAAGGAUGGGUCUGCGGCCUAUCAGGUAGUAGUGGGUGUAACGUACCUACUAGCCUGCGACGGGUACGGGUUGUGAGAGCAAGAUCCCGGAGAUGGAUUCUGAGACAUGAAUCCAGGCCCUACGGGGUGCAGCAGGCGCGAAACCUUUACACUGCGGGAAACCGCGAUAAGGGGACCCCGAGUGCCAGCACCUAGUGCUGGCUGUCCAGCUGUCCAAAUAACAGUUGUUAGCAAGGGCCGGGCAAGACCGGUGCCAGCCGCCGCGGUAACACCGGCGGCCCGAGUGGUAGCCGCUAUUAUUGGGUUUAAAGGGCCCGUAGCCGGCCUAUUAAGUCUCUUGGGAAAUCUGGCGGCUCAAUCGUCAGGCGUUCA
rnacentral:rRNA from 1 species